AACAGUUUCGGCACCAAGUCUUAAGAGGUUCACUGAAGAUGUGGGGUGUGAGGGGGCAAGCGGGGUUGAACCGCUGACCUAUCGGACUGCAGCCGAUUGCUCUGCCACUGAGCUAUACCCCCGGCGGAACCGACUCCAACGGAUCUGUCUGGAUUCUUCGGGUUUUCAUUUAGUAUUUGAAAGUGUAUUUCUUAGUAAAUACUAUAUUUCAUUGUCGUCUCUCACUAAGAGAGAAGCAAUUACUGGAGGGUUAUGUGAAGUUUUAGAAGCUUUGGAAGCUUGUCUGCUCCACUGAAGCGCAGCGAAGCGAAGGUGGGAAUUUCCCACGCACCUGCUCUCGCUCCUACAUUUCGUUCGUCUUUCUCGCGGGCUUUCGAUUUGUGCUUCCGGUGGCGGCGUCGCUUUUGCGGCGUUUGACGCGGUAGGCUUUGUCGGAAUGGUGUUUGGGCUGACCAUGUUUUGGGGGGAUUUUGAUGGAAGAAGCGGAUGAUGUGGACCAAGAGUUGGUCGAGAUUUGAGUGAGCGUUGGGAUUGAGAUGCUGUUCGCGUUUUGUGAGGUGGGCUCAGAGCUCGGGCGAUUGAAUUAGUUUGGAAAAAUCGGAGGAUUUUCGGAUCGGAGUGUGUGAAUGUAGAGGAGCUCGUGCUCGUGCUCCUGCUUAUGCAAUGGCGUAUUAUUCGUAUUCUCCUGAUCUCAUGAAGCGUCUCAAGGAGGAGUUUGUUAGUAAUUUGGAGGGUACCACGAUGCGGGAGAUCGCCGCCAUGUCUGCAUUGUUUCCGGUAGGUCUUUUUUUACCCCAGUUCAUGAAUCGAGUAUGGCAAUACAGCGCUUGGUUAUCCUUUUCUGUGCCUGAACCAGCUCUCAAAUAUUCAUUGAGGUGGUCGGAGUUAUCGCUGCUUGAUAUGAUUGAGAUUAAUUUUCUGCCAUAGUAUAUGGCUAGUUCGUGCAUUUCGUGCAUAGAAUGCUUUUUCGUCUUUUGAGUGGUUUAUUUGCAACCGCUGUGGUUUUUGAAAUUCUUAGGUAUGACCUUUUUGUUGACUAAUUUCAUUGAUUAAAACUGAAGUUACUGUUGGAAUAGUUUUUGUCAUUUGUUUUGUUGUUUUUUCAUUUUAUAAUAUUUUUUGUGGCUAAGUUAAGGUAUAUUUCUUUAUUGAAGUAUAUGUAUAUAUAUUUUUUUAUAUAUGUGUUUUCUUAUUUUAUUAUUGUAGUGUUAUUGAGGUAUUGUCUGUAAUUUAUCUCUCUUUCUUUGUAACGCUAUGUAUUUUAUUCUCAUUAGGUUAUUAGUUUGCUGUAUUUUUUAUUUUAAUUUUUGUAGAAUUUAUUUAUUAAUUCAUAAAACUGUUGUGUAGAGAAAUUACGCAAUGAGGUGCUAGUAAAUUUUUUUGUUGAACUAAUUUGUGUUGACUUUUCUAAUACACUUUUUUAGUUAUUUCAGGCCUCUACAUUUUGCUUCUAAAUAUAAGAGCAUAACAUAUUGCAGAAUAGUGUUCUUAAAAAUGUGAAGAUGAUACAUUAUACAUUUAAUUGCAAAGAUUACUGUAAUUAAUUUUGAUUUUCGGUGUA